rnacentral:rRNA from 1 species
CCUACGGGUGGCAGCAGUGGGGAAUAUUGGACAAUGGGGGGAACCCUGAUCCAGCCAUGCCGCGUGUGUGAAGAAGGCCCUCGGGUUGUAAAGCACUUUCAGUGAGGAAGAACGCCUGGUGGUUAAUACCCAUCAGGAAAGACAUCACUCACAGAAGAAGCACCGGCUAACUCCGUGCCAGCAGCCGCGGUAAUACGGAGGGUGCGAGCGUUAAUCGGAAUUACUGGGCGUAAAGCGCGCGUAGGUGGCUUGAUAAGCCGGUUGUGAAAGCCCCGGGCUCAACCUGGGAACGGCAUCCGGAACUGUCAAGCUAGAGUGCAGGAGAGGAAGGUAGAAUUCCCGGUGUAGCGGUGAAAUGCGUAGAGAUAGGGAGGAAUACCAGUGGCGAAGGCGGCCUUCUGGACUGACACUGACACUGAGGUGCGAAAGCGUGGGUAGCAAACAGGAUUAGAUACCCGGGUAGUC